CCUUUAAGUGGGGGAUAGCGCAGGGAAACUUGCAUUAAUACCCCGUAAUAUUUUUGGGUGGCAUCACCUGAUAAUUAUAGCUCCGGCGCUUAAAGAUGGGCGUGCGCCUGAUUAGGUAGUUGGCGGGGUAACGGCCCACCAAGCCUACGAUCAGUAACUGGUGUGAGAGCACGACCAGUCACACGGGCACUGAGACACGGGCCCGACUCCUACGGGAGGCAGCAGUAAGGAAUAUUGGUCAAUGGACGCAAGUCUGAACCAGCCAUGCCGCGUGGAGGAUGACUGCCCUCUGGGUUGUAAACUCCUUUUAUCUGGGAAGAAAUGCAGAUUUUCUAGUCUGUUUGACGGUACCAGAGGAAUAAGCACCGGCUAACUCCGUG
rnacentral:rRNA from 1 species